CCAAAGGAAAAAAUAGCUCAACUAAAAAACACAAUCCAAAAUAAACUAGUAAAACAAAUAAAAAAUUACAACAAACAACAAAACCAAGUAUAAUUAUUAGAAAAGAAAAAUGAAGCUAUAAUAGUACUGUAAAGGAACAUUUGAAAAAAUGAAAAUUUAAUUUCAUCAAAGAAAGAAUUAAAACCUGUACCUUUUGUAUAAUGGUCUAACAAGAAAAAAAGUAAUUAAACUUUCACCCGAAACUAGGAGAUCUACUACUAUCCCGAUUAAGAACGUGCACCUUACUGUUUCAAAAGUAAGCAAAGAGAUAGCAAUAGCCAUAAAACGUGAAACGAGCCUAGAGAUAGCUGGUUGCCUGAAAACUAAGUAUUAGCUUAAACCUCUACAUUUGCCAAUAAGUCUAAACAUACACCAAAUGAAAAGAAGGUUAGACCAAAAGGGACAAACUUUUUAGUCUACUAGGAAAAAGCCUAAAACAACAGUAAAAGUCAAAAACCACCCAACAAAGACUAAAGCAAUGUAGGCCUAGAAACAGCCACCUUAAUAAAAGCGUCAUAGAUUAACUAAAACAAAACUAAUAAUUAAUGGUAAAAAAACUUUAACUUAUAAAAAAUAUCAGACUAUUAGAAUCAUAAUUCUAAAAAAAAAUGUUAAAAUUAGUACUCAAACAACUACUGCAGUUAUAAACUACUCUAACAAACCACUCAUUGGAAGAAAGAGAAUACUUAAAACUCAAGAAAAACAUUCUACCUACAGUACAAACCAACACAGGAAGUUAAAAAAUAAACCAAAGAAAUAGAAGGAACUCGGCAAAAAAAACUUCGCCUGUUUACCAAAAACAUCGCUCUUUGUAUAAACCAAAUAAAGAGUACUGCCUGCCCAGUGAUAAAAAUUCAACGGCCGCGGUAUAUUGACCGUGCAAAGGUAGCAUAAUCAUUUGUUCUUUAAUUGAGAACUAGAAUGAAAGGCAAGACGGAGUUUAACUGUCUCCUAUCUCACAGAAAAAAUUAUUAUUCUUGUGAAGAAACAAGAAUAAAUGUGUAAGACGAAAAGACCCUGUCGAGCUUAAAACUAACCGCACAAAACAAACAAACUAAUAAUAGAUAAUAAAAUUACUAUAAUAACAAAACCUUAUGGUGUGAUAACUUUUGGUUGGGGCAACCGCGAAGAAAAAAAACCCUUCGCCAAUAAACAAUAAAAAUAAACAAAUUUAAAAGCUUUAAAAUCUAAUAAAUGAUCCGACAACUUAGUUCGAUCAAGGAAAAAAGUUACCGCAGGGAUAACAGCGUCAUUCUCUCUGAGAGCUCGUAUUGACGAGAGAGUUUGCGACCUCGAUGUUGGACCGGGGCACCCCAGAGGUGCAGAAGCCUCUAAAGGUAGGUCUGUUCGACCUUUAAAGCCCUACGCGAUCUGAGUUCAGACCGACGUAAGUCAGGUCAGUUUCUAUCUACACACAAAAAAGAAGCUUUUCUAGUACGAAAGGAACCAAAAGCUAAGACCAAUUUUUCCAGAAAAGUCUUAAACUAAAACCUCUGAAAACAAAUAAAGAAAAUCUUA
rnacentral:rRNA from 1 species